rnacentral:lncRNA from 1 species
UCACAACCUUUUUUUUUAGAUAAGCAAAACUUGUAUUAAAAGGAGGUACAAGGGGUACCCCAACCCUUAAUACAACAAGGAAAAACAGAAAAGGUACAUAAAACAGAGGAUAAAUUGCUAAACCAGCAAAAGACACCAGCAGUUCAAAAAAACUUGGGCAAGAGUCCAGCAGGCUGGAUAAGAAAAACGGUCACCACCAACCAAGAGAGCAGCACCAUCCACUUAUAGUCCAUGAAUGCAAAGCAACGAGUUAGUAUACCAAGCAUAGAAUGAGUAAGAAAACUCCUUGACCUUUACUUUAGCCCACGCCCAGGAUUGUUUUUUUACCAAUUCCAAAAUGCUUUCAUGAUUGAAAAGGCC